ACUGUGUAUCUCUUGUUCAUCUUCACUACCACUGUUCUUUCAUCUUCUCCUCUUGCUGUUUGGGGUUUUGUUUGCUUGUUUGGUUAUGGACAACAGAAGCUACACAUGAGUUUUGUUGAUUUCUGGCUUGUUCAUAUGUUCAUUGUUAUUGUUUCAUUCACUGUUCUUUUUAGUAUUAUUUGAACUCAGUGAAGCUCUGUUUCAUUUUGCCUUAUUUGAAGAUAUUGGUUGCUUUUUUCUUGUUUGAAUCUACUAUUCCCACCAGUCCAAGCCCAUUGAAAGAGCAUCAGAAGUGGCUUUUCUUGGUUCAUAUAUUGUUUGUUUGCUUUUUCUGGUUCUCCUCUGUUCUGGUCUCUGUUCUUUCUCUUUAGUUUUUUGAUGCACUUGAUCUGGGGAAGUGGAUUGAUUAAUUAAUCAGUCAGAGGGAUGGUCUUGGGCUUGUUCUUGGGGAAUGCACUGGCAGAUAUGUAUGCACAGUGUGGAAAAUGUGAGGCUGUUAACACUUCAUCCAUUUUCUUUUCCAGGGACAUAAAUGUUGGUCGAGUAGCUGAGAGAUUAGGACGAGUCCCUCUCCAACCACUACUAGAGCUGCUUCAGUUGUAUCUCCUGGAACUGUGCCCUAUGCUGGAGUCCAUCCAAAAGUGCCUUUGGCCAAGGCUGUGCUAGCUGAAUCAGUGACACUAUAUGAGCUAUGUUAUCAGUUGAUUGCAUUUGGAAAGAUUCUCAAGGAUGACACAACAUUGGAUGCAGCUGACAUUGACAACAGUGGAACAAUAGACUAUGGGGAAUUCCUUGCUGCUAUUGAACACUUGAAUAGGCUAGUGGAGGAGUUGAUUCAGUGAGCUUGACUGCUGAGACUACUAAUGGUGCUACCAAGAAAUUCAUUUGUGAUGGAAAUUCUGACAUAAUGCCCAACGAUUGCCUGGAUGGUGAUUUUUGUAGAAAAUGAUUCUGUUUCAAGAGAGGACUUGGAAACCAAUCGAGUGGAUCCCUUUGGACAGCAUCUCUGGAUCUGAGUGCAAAAACGCUUACGGAGAUCUGCGCUGGAUUUCAAAAGGACAAGAAGCUUACUGGUGGCAUCAUGAGAUUUCAAAUGCGGUGAUCUUGUCCUUGGCAAUGGGGCUCUGCUUACUUUGCUAGCACAGUUGAACUAGCGUGCAAAGCUGUAUAUGCUCAGGAAUGCUACUUGUGCACUUUCAAAUUUCUACAAGGGCAAGCUACAACUUCCUUUUGAUCAGACAAAGCCUGCUUUUUUCUGGAAUAGAUCAGUGAGCAAUCAUCAUACAUGGUUUCAUCUAACCAUUCUUGCUUAGAUGACAAGUCAAAUAUCAGUGGAAGUGGUGCAUGAUCCCUCCAGUAAAUCAGUUCAUAUAACUUCUGGUGUGGGAAGAUUUGUUGGCAGGAAUCACAGUCCUAGACAGCUGGUUAUUGCAUCUCCAGGAACCCCACUGCUUGAAAUUCUUGUGGUCAAAGAUUCUGAUGAGAACCGCCGUGAGAACUUUUCCAAAAACUUUCAUGAAAGCCGCACCUGUUUCAUUAAAUAUGCAGAAACUGAUUAUUUGAGGAGUGUUACAGAAAAUCUCAGGUUGGUCAGUAGGCAUCUAUUGAUAUGAGAGAUUGUGCCCUGUAUCUAUAUGAUAAGAUGCUUCGGCUUGCUUUAAGUCACCACUUUCAUCAGAUAUGGAGAAGGAAUUCAGAAUUAUUCAUACUAGUUGAGAUCGUCCUCAUAUGGUCUGCACAAAUGGAAGUUGAUGCCAGGGAAUGUUCAUCUACAGCUUUGUUGUGUCAAGCUUGAGUUCUUCCUCCAGAGCCCAUUCCCUUCAUGGGAAACAUACAGAACCCCAUCAAUUAGAGAAGAAGUUCUCCGGGAAGGUUGUUGAAGUAGACAAAGAAGUAUCUCUUUCAGAAAGCAGCAGCACAGGGAAUUCAAUCUAGAACUAGGCUUGAUCAUGCCACUUUCAUUGCAGUGUUAGCAGCUUGUGCCCAUCCCUGGAUGGCCAACAGAGCUUCGAAGGUAUUUAGUGAGAUGUUUCUAAAAUAUGGCAUUGAGCUCUCUGUUGAACAUUAUGUUUGCAUGGUAGAAGUUGUAAGCUGAGUUGGAAUGCUCUCAGAAGCAACAGAAUUCAUUUCUAAUAUGUCAGUUGAACCAAAUGCCAAAAUCUAGGGUGCACUGCUCAAUGGGGUUUCAGUUUCUGGUGAUGUCGAACUUGGGAAGUUUGUUUCUGAUCAUUUGUUCGAGAUGGAGCCUGAAAACACAGGUAAUAGUGUCAUUAUGGCAAAUUUAUACUCACGACCUGAUUAUGGAAGAAUUGUGGAGAUUCUGCACAGUAGAUGGUUGAGAUUUGAUAAGAAGAAUUGGAGGGCCUCUUACAAUUCCCUGAACCUGCUUAGAGCACCUGAUGACUCAUGGACCAGAGAGUGUUGCAAACGAGUUUCGGAGCGAGAAAAAUGUAAAGGAGAAAAUGUGGAAGACAUUCAUGUGAUCAUUACUCGCGUCCAAGUUACUGAUGAAUCAGUUGAGUACCUUAAAAGUGGUUCUGCAGUUUUCAGUGUUUUAAGGAACCUUGGUAAGUCAGAGGAAAGAGUGUGUUGUUAGGGAUAUUUGUGAAACCAACAAUCAGAUUCGAAUUCAAGGUGCUGAUGGAUCAGAAGAAUAUUUUCAAAGUUCCUCUGUUAGCAAUAGUUUUGGAACAGAGCAGGACCCACUAGCAGAAAAGCCACUUUGAAGAUAGGAUUGAACAUUAGUGAUGGUAUCAUGCAAAGAGAGCGACAACAGGGAAAUACCUCAGAAGUUCUUGGCCUUGGUGACAAAGUGUCUGAUACGCAAAUAGAACAGACACUUUUCCCAUUGAAAUCGGCCUACACGGAUCAGGAAUCAGUAGGAAGCUUCUUGGAGCCAUUUCAAAGGCCAAAUCUGAAAGCUUUCAUAACUGGUGGUGGUUUGAUCCUUCCUUAGCAGAUAACUAGGCAACACAAGGGCAGCAGUCACAACUGCCAUCACAGCAGUAAUUGAUGAAACUUCAGCCCGAAUACAGAACUCAUUGCUGAUGUUGUUUAGAAAGAGAGGCCGAAAUGGAUAUUCCUAACUUCUCCUAACAAUCUAGAUGGAUCUCCAUUCUAUUGGUUCUGAUGCUCUUGAUGACGCACUCCAGUAUGCUUUGGCAGAGGCAGAAAAGAUUAAGAACAUGGCUAACUGGGAGGAUGCUGUUCAAGUGGUUUGUUUUCAUGCAAAAUCUGGUGCAAACUGUUUUUGAAGGAGCUGGUGACUGUAGUUCGUGGGUAGCUGCUAUGUUGGAACUUGCUCGGGAUAUUUCUUAAGGGGCUCAUGGAUUCAAGAAUGCUGUUAUAUUUUUAUUUAGUACUGGUGAAGAGGUUCCCCAAAAGGUUUCAAGCUGCUUUCAAAACUUGAAAUGCUUGACUUGCAUGGGAGUAUGCUCAAUGUUCAUGUGGAUAAAGAAUUCUUGCAAUUUUCAAGUGCCAUUCAUGUUAACUUUAGUGGGAAUAUGCUAGUGAAUUCUGGUUGGUAGAAACAAAUUAUUAUUUUUUUUUAUCCAGUAUUUCUCCAACUAUUACGCAUAUAAAUCUCUGUCAUAACUAAUUUAUGGGAUCACUUGUACUUGCUCACCCAGUUGCCCGCGCAAGUACCUCUUCGACCAGGGGAGUUUUCCGAAGCUUCACCUACUGUAGGUGAUUUUAGUGAUCAAUCAUUGUUAGAAUCCAGUAGUUCUAUUGUUGUUCA